GACGAACGCUGGCGGCGUGCUUAACACAUGCAAGUCGAGCGGAGCGGCGAACGGGUGCGUAACGCGUGAGUAACUGCCCCCCUCUCUGGGAUAACAGUUGGAAACGGCUGCUCAUCCCGGAAUGUGGGGGAUGACUCGCGUCCGAUCAGCUUGUGGGUGGGGUAGGGGCCUACAAAGGCGACGACGGGUAGCCGGCCUGAGAGGGCGACCGGCCACAUUGGGCUGGGCUACGGACCAAACUCCGACGGGAGGCAGCAGUGGGGAAUAUUGCACAAUGGGGGAAACCCGGAUGCAGCAACGCCGGGUGCGGGAUGUCGGCCUUCGGGUUGUAAACCGCUUGCAGCCAUGACGCGGUAGUGGCAGAAGAAGCACCGGCUAACUACGUGCCAGCAGCCGCGGUAAUUC
rnacentral:rRNA from 1 species